CUUGGCCCCUCCUUGCCCCAGAGCAUCAGGAUCCCCAGGGUUUCCAGUUCUUCUAUCCGGAAGUGUAACAGAAGAUCAUGUUAGGUUAUCAUGUCAAAUUCUGUGGCUCACUGCAUUAGGAGGUUACCUUAUGGAGAAGAUGAAGAGCAAAAGAAGUAUGCAUCCCUCUCUUGGACCACAUGGCCCAGAUAGGCAGAGGACAAAGCUUCACCAUAUCAUUCUUAAACACAGCAACCAAGUUCCGCUGCUAUUCCCCGAGCAGCAUGGUGCAGUGUUAUUACUGUCUCCAGAUGCCCACGUUCUGGACCAGCAGCACAGCCCCCACAUAAAAGAGAAUCCUGAGGAAAUGUGA
rnacentral:lncRNA from 1 species